UACGAAGGGGGCUAGCGUUGCUCGGAAUCACUGGGCGUAAAGCGCACGUAGGCGGAUUGUUAAGUCAGGGGUGAAAUCCUGGAGCUCAACUCCAGAACUGCCUUUGAUACUGGCGAUCGUUGAGUUCGGGAGAGGUGAGUGGACUGCGAGUGUAGAGGUGAAAUUCGUAGAUAUUCGGCAAGAACACCAGUGGCGAAGGCGGACUCACUGGCCCGAUACUGACGCUGAGGUG
rnacentral:rRNA from 1 species